rnacentral:snRNA from 1 species
AGCUUUGUGCAGUGGCAGUAUCAUAGCCAAUGAGGUUUAUCUGAGGUCCGAUUAUUGCUAAUUAAAAUAGAGGAUGACACAAAGAAAUGGAAGAACACCCUGUUCAUGGAUUAGAAGAACAAAUAUCAGUAACAGCAAUUCUGCC